rnacentral:rRNA from 1 species
UAAAUGAUGUUGAAAGCCCUAGCUAUGAAUUUUUAUUAUGAACCCAUAUACAAAGUUAUAGAAUGGAUAAUGUUAUAGCGUGUAAUAGCGCAAAUAUAUACAACUUUCAGCAACGGAUCUCUUGGCUCUCGCAUCGAUGAAGAACGCAGCGAAAUGCGAUAAGUAAUGUGAAUUGCAGAAUUCAGUGAAUCAUCGAAUCUUUGAACGCACCUUGCACUCCUUGGUAUUCCGAGGAGUAUGCCUGUUUGAGUGUCAUGAACUUCUCAACUACCUUUCUAGCAUUUAUGUUAAGGGUGAAGUUGGAGUUGGAGGAUAAUUGCUGGCGUGCAACUUAAGUUGCUUGUUAGCUCCUCCUAAAUGGAUGAGCUUUUCUGAUAGAUGAUGGCUCANUAACACUAAUGUGAUAAUUAUCUACAUUAAAUGUGAAAGCUGUGAGUAGAGUAACUUCNNUUGUGGAGAAGCUCCUAUAG